CGCCUGGGGAGUGCGGCCGCAAGGUUAAAACUCAAAUGAAUUGACGGGGGCCCGCACAAGCGGUGGAGCAUGUGGUUUAAUUCGACGCAACGCGAAGAACCCUACCUGGCCUUGACAUCCAGAGAGCUUUCCAGAGAUGGAUUGGUACCUUCGGGAACUCUGAGACAGGUGCUGCAUGGCCGUCGUCAGCUCGUGUCGUGAGAUGUUGGGUUAAGUCCCGUAACGAGCGCAACCCCUAUCCCUGGUUGCUAGCAGGUAAUGCUGAGAACUCCAGGGAGACUGCCGGUAACAAACCGGAGGAAGGUGGGGAUGACGUCAGGUCAUCAUGGCCCUUACGGCCAGGGCUACACACGUGCUACAAUGGCGCGUACAGAGGGCUGCCAACUCGCGAGAGUGAGCCAAUCCCUUAAAACGCGUCGUAGUCCGGAUCGGAGUCUGCAACUCGACUCCGUGAAGUCGGAAUCGCUAGUAAUCGCGAAUCAGAAUGUCGCGGUGAAUACGUUCCCGGGCCUUGUACACACCGCCCGUCACACCAUGGGAGUGGAUUGCACCAGAAGUAGUUAGUCUAACCUUCGGGAGGACGAUUACCACGGUGUGGUUCAUGACUGGGGUGAAGUCGUAACAAGGUAACCGUA
rnacentral:rRNA from 1 species